rnacentral:rRNA from 1 species
UACGAAGGGGGCUAGCGUUGUUCGGAAUCACUGGGCGUAAAGCGCGCGUAGGCGGGUCGUUAAGUCGGGGGUGAAAUCCCGAGGCUCAACCUCGGAACUGCCUUCGAUACUGGCGACCUUGAGUCCGGGGAGAGGUGAGUGGAACUCCUAGUGUAGAGGUGAAAUUCGUAGAUAUUAGGAAGAACACCAGUGGCGAAAGGCGGCUCACUGGCCCGGAACUGACGCUGAUGUGCGAAAGCGUGGGGGAGCAAAACAGG